GCGCUCGUAGCUCAGCUGGAUAGAGCGGUGGAUUCCGGUUCCACGUCUGCCGGGGGUUCGAAUCCCUCCGAGCGCG
rnacentral:tRNA from 1 species